UUCCGGUUGAUCCUGCCAGAGGCCACCGCUAUUGGAUUUCGAUUAAACCAUGCGAGUCGAGAGGGUUCGGCCCUCGGCGGACCGCUCAGUAACACGCGGAUAACCUGCCCUUGGGUGGGGGAUAAGCUCGGGAAACUGAGUACAAUACCCCAUAGGCCAUCUAUGCUGGAACGCUUGAUGGUCGAAAGCUCCGGCGCCCAAGGAUGGAUCUGCGGCCUAUCAGGUUGUAGUUGGUGUAACGGACCAACUAGCCUACGACGGGUACGGGCCUUGAGAGAGGUAGCCCGGAGAUGGAUUCUGAGACAUGAAUCCAGGCCCUACGGGGCGCAGCAGGUGCGAAAACUUCGCAAUGUGGGAAACCACGACGAGGGGAAUCCAAGUGCUUGCACAAUGUGUAGGCUGUUUCCAUGCCUAAAAAGCAUGGAGAGUAAGGGCUGGGUAAGACGGGUGCCAGCCGCCGCGGUAAUACCCGCAGCCCGAGUGGUGGUCGUUAUUAUUGGGCCUAAAACGUCCGUAGCCGGCCCGGUAAAUUCGUGGGGAAAUCGGUCAGCUUAACUGACCGAAGUCCGCGGAGACUGCCGGGCUUGGGACUGGGUGAGGUCAGAGGUACUUCAGGGGUAGGGGUAAAAUCCUGUAAUCCUUGAAGGACCACCAGUGGCGAAGGCGUCUGACUAGAACGGAUCCGACGGUAAGGGACGAAGCCCUGGGGCACAAACGGGAUUAGAUACCCCGGUAGUCCAGGGUGUAAACGCUGUGGGCUUGGUGUUGGGAGUCCCACGAGGGCG
rnacentral:rRNA from 1 species